rnacentral:rRNA from 1 species
AUGAACGCUAGCGGGAGGCCUAACACAUGCAAGCCGAGCGGUAGAGAUCUUUCGGGAUCUUGAGAGCGGCGUACGGGUGCGGAACACGUGUGCAACCUGCCUUUAUCUGGGAGAUAGCCUUUCGAAAGGAAGAUUAAUACCCCAUAAUAUAUGAUUCGGCAUCGGAUUCUAUUGAAAGCUCCGGCGGAUAGAGAUGGGCACGCGCAAGAUUAGAUAGUUGGUGAGGUAACGGCUCACCAAGUCAGUGAUCUUUAGGGGGCCUGAGAGGGUGAUCCCCCACACUGGUACUGAGACACGGACCAGACUCCUACGGGAGGCAGCAGUGAGGAAUAUUGGACAAUGGGUGAAAGCCUGAUCCAGCCAUCCCGCGUGAAGGACGACGGCCCUAUGGGUUGUAAACUUCUUUUGUAUAGGGAUAAACCUACCCUCGUGAGGGUAGCUGAAGGUACUAUACGAAUAAGCACCGGCUAACUCCGUGCCAGCCGCCGCAGUAA